rnacentral:rRNA from 1 species
UACGUAGGGUGCGAGCGUUAAUCGGAAUUACUGGGCGUAAAGCGUGCGCAGGCGGUUUUGUAAGCCAGAUGUGAAAUCCCCGGGCUUAACCUGGGAAUGGCAUUUGGGACUGCAAGGCUUGAGUGCGGCAGAGGAGACUGGAAUUCCUGGUGUAGCAGUGAAAUGCGUAGAUAUCAGGAGGAACACCGGUGGCGAAGGCGGGUCUCUGGGACGGUACUGACGCUGAGGAGCGAAAGCGUGGGGAGCAAACAGG